AGGAUUCAAAAUUUUCAUGCUUUGCAAGUGUUUCGGCCACAACUCCUUGUGGAUCUGGCAGUUUAGCUUGGAAAAUGGUCGCGUUCCUCUCUUUCCAAAUGAACCAGAGCACUUCGGCCACUAACUCGAGGUUGGGUGUAUCAGUUGUCUAGGGACAGGGUAGGAACAAGUGCUCUGCUAUUUCUGGGCUCCUUCUGCACAAUGGGCACAUCGGGUCAGGUCUACGCAUCCGGCUAGUGUUGGGAGGCAGUUGCUGGAAAAUCUCCAUCUGAUUCGAUAUUUCUAGAGUUUCAGGACUAUCAGCGCAAUGAGUAGUGUAGUGACCCAGUUUGCUGCAGGCGUAGCAAAAAUGAGCUACUUCCUUUCGCCACUCCACAGGUAGACCAUAAAUGUGUACCCAAAAGGCUCCCUUCGAGAAAUCAUAACAUCGGGAAGAAGUGUUGGGUUCCCAUGGUUUUAGCAGAAGCAUGUGAUUAGCAAAAGACCAUGGUCCCCCAUUCAGCACACGUUUAGAUUCCUCUUCUGUUUUGAAUGCGAACAGAAACAGUUCCUGCUCCAAUAGGUUUCUCGAGAGAAGCUCCAGGCGAGGGUCUACUCCCGUGUACUCCAUAUGAGCUCGCUAUCCCAGCUUCAAGUCAGAAGGGAGUGUAGUUCAGACAAACGACUCAAGUAGUGGAGGCAAUCUAUGAUAAUCACGGAUACCAAACCAGGGCUGUGAAGGGCGAGUGAAUUUGAAGACAAGCAAGGGUUGUGCAAUGCAGGUUUUCAGGGUUGAAAAGGAAGGGAAUGAGCGUUUGAGAUUGAGUGGGGCUGCCAAUGGAGCAAGACCAACACGCACAUCAUCCAUGAGUAAAAGCUAGAAGAGGUAGGUUUUCAAGGAAAAGGGGGUUUUAAAGGAAACGAGGGAGAGAAUGGAGAGAUAAGGGUGAAACAAUGGGAUGGCUAGGGUUUUGGGAUAGAUUGAUUUGGGGGUUUCUAGAGGCAAACAAGGCUGCUCGAAGGAUGGGUAUGGUUAUAAACAUGUAUUUCAGGGGAUUGAGGGAAGGAAAAGUACUGGGGCGAGAAUAAUGUCAAUAGAAUAGUGACUGAGCUUCAUGUAUGGAUGAAAACAGUAGCGAAAUAGGCUAUGUGGUUUUGAUUAGGGUACGGGGGAGUUGGAAUGAUAGAGAAACUCUCCAUAGAUCGUGAGGGGAAGGGCUAGGGUUUAUAGUUAGGGUUUGGAUUGAGGAGGGAGGAGACAUAGUUACACCAAAGGUAGAGAAACUCUUCCAACGAGACAGAGCUUUCGGCUAGCGAUCAGAUGUAGACGUGUACCAUUUGAAUCUUAUUGUAUUGUCACAUCCACAUAAAAGCUAGCCGGAGCUCCCUAUGAAGAUUAAAAUGAUAUUCGAAUACCCAUCAAUGUAGCUUCCAUUCUUGAUAUUCUGGCUACUAA